UACGUAGGGGGCGAGCGUUGUCCGGAUUUAUUGGGCGUAAAGCGCACGUAGGCGGAUUGCUAAGUCAGGGGUGAAAUCCUGGAGCUCAACUCCAGAACUGCCUUUGAUACUGAGGAGCUUGAGUCCGGGAGAGGUGAGUGGAACUGCGAGUGUAGAGGUGAAAUUCGUAGAUAUUCGCAAGAACACCAGUGGCGAAGGCGGCUCACUGGCCCGGUACUGACGCUGAGGUGCGAAAGCGUGGGGAGCAAACAGGAUUAAGAAACCC
rnacentral:rRNA from 1 species